AAAUCACAGUGAACUUUUGUAAACUAUUAAACAAAAUGUUUUUGUUAUAUUUACAAUAACAAUAUGUGAUUAUAAUCAAAUGUAUUUGUUAAAACUACAAAUAUUGGUAACAAAAACAGCGAAAUACUGUAAUACUCUUAACAAAACAAUUAUGUUAAUUUGACAUGCAAAUAUUGUAGAAACUACAGUUUUAGCCAGUUGAUUUAAAAAUACAAAACAUAUAUGUAAUCAUAUAUACAAGUCUAUGCUGUACUUUUAACAUGAUCUUGAUGAAACUAUGCAAAUUGAGAUAGGCCUAAUAAAAAUUCUCACUGUGAAAAAAAUGUCAUUGUGAACCUCGAGGUUGCCUAUCUAUUUAUAGGAUAUAUAAAAAUAUACAAUUAUAAUUCCAAUGUUUUUUUUUAUCAUGGCUAUUUGUAGCCAAUCUGGUGCUGAUCUUCAUGAUGCAGGUUUUAUAUUGGUGAUAUUGAGAUUUGGUGAGUGAGAUUGGUGAGCCAGAUAAAAACAUCCAUGAAUAUUGGGUCAUUUACGGAGGAACUGCACCUGUUUUUUUUCGUAAGCUUGAUAAAUGAGCACUGAGUCCGCCUAACUUAGAAUUUAAAAGUGUGCAGCUCGUCUCUGAUUGGAUAAUGACGUAAGGGCGGGAGGAGAAGCACGAGCUCCUCGUUCACGGCUUCAGCUGACGUCACCAACGAGCCAGUAGUAGCGCCGCCGCGUCUGCAGAGUGGAGAACGCAUCAGAAAUCUUCGGACUACCGGACUACUUUGUACUACUUUCAUAAAACUUAUUUUGGACAAAUCUACGAUUGGAAGAUCCGUGGCUAUUCAAUCGAUCCGUGGCUAUUGCAACAAAGUUUGCAAGGUAAGCUUAAAAUGUCGGCUACUUCUCCUACUUUUUGCUGAAAGCACAUGGUGUAAGCUAGCACCAGUUGAUAUUUAGCAGGCGCUAGCAACAGUUGAUAUGUAGCAGGCUAAAGACCAAUCGAUUGAUGACUAUAAAAAUGAUCACCUGCGUCUUUUGUAGAAAGAUAUUGGUUACAUUAAGAGGCUAUGUACUACAUUGCAGAGUGCAUAGGAAUGAGCCUCGUUGUCUUUUCAAAUGUGUUGGCGCCAACUGUAGUCAAACAUUUACCACUUAUGCAGCUUUCAAGGGGCAUUUUUAUCGCGUGCACAAUGCACCUGAACCGCAAGCCACUCCUAGAGCUGUUGUUGCAGAUUUAAAAUGCGCAGUUUCAUUAUGUGCCCGCCAUUUUCACACAGUGAAAGAGCUAGUGUCUCACUUAAAUGAUCAUAUUGGAGAGGGCAGGUCUGUGUCAUGUCCAGUAAGUGGUUGUAAGCACAUGUUUACAAAAAAGUCAUCAUUUACUUCUCACAUGUGUAGGAAGCAUAAAGCAUGCUCCCCUGAUGGUAUUGAUGACAUGUACAGGGAAACUCGCCCUCAGCCCCCAAAUUGCAUUGCCAGUACAGAUGAUUCAGAAAACACACAUGAUGCUAUGCCAACAGCCAGUGCUGCCAGUGAUAUGCCAGAGGUUGAUAGUCAUUCUUAUCUCAGAAACAUGUGUCUAUUUUAUCUUAAACUGCAAGGACAGCUGCUUGUACCUGCCUCUACUAUACAGACUAUUGUAGAGGAAAUGCAAAAUGUGCAUGACUUAGGUCAAGCCUACACAAUAAAUAAAGUAAGUUCUUUAUUAAAAAAUGAUAUGAGUCUAUCAGAUGAAGCAGUCACUAAAAUUUGUGACUGCAUUAAAGAGUCAGAUUUGUUCUCUUCCUGUCAUCAGGGACAAUUAAGAACAACAUACACCAGAAAUCAGACAUUCAAAAAAAUGUUUAAAUACACGGAACCCCGAAAAGUGGCAUUGGGAAUUGAUGAAAACAUGACACAAAAAUUCGCAUACUACAUACCAGUUGCAGAAACUCUGAAGAGCUUUCUACAGUCAGAUUUAUGGAGGAAUACACAGGCACAACAGUUUGGUGAUCCUGAUGUAGAGGUUUUUACCGAUUUAUAUGACGGACAAAAUUUCAAAUGCCACCAGUUCUUUAAUGAAAACCCUGAAAGCCUCAAACUGAUUUUGUACCAAGAUUCAUUUGAAGUGGUGAAUCCCCUGGGUUCUGGUAAAAAGACGCACAAAGUGCUUGCAGUCUAUCUUUCAUUAGCAAAUUUACCCAUCCAUUUGCGUUCCAAUACUGAUAAUAUGUUUUUGGUCUUGUUAUGUGUUGAGAAUGACUUUAAGCGUUUUGGAAUAGCCAAAGUUUUCUCAGAGUUGUUAGCAGAUCUGAAAUCCUUGGAGACGGAUGGAAUAAAUGUAGAUGGGGAAACAGUAAAAGCGGGUCUUUACUGCAUUGCUGGGGAUAACUUGGGUUCUCAUUGUGUAGGUGGGUUUACAGAAAACUUCAGCACCUCUCAAUAUUUUUGCAGAUACUGUGAAAUCACAAGAACUGAGUUUCAUGCUGAUCCGAAUGCCUGUGGUCCUCCACGCACCCCAGAGACGUAUGCCACGGCUGUGGAGGGUCUCCAGGCUGAAGACAUCCAAUGUGUCAGAGGAAUAAAGGCAAACUCUGUCUUUAAUACCCUUGAGUCUUUUCACGUCUCCCAGCCUGGUCUCCCUCCUUGUUUAGGUCAUGACCUCUUUGAAGGAGUCUUGUCAUAUGAUCUAGCACUGUACCUGAAGAACAUUAUAAAAAAGAAAAAAUGGUUCACAUACAACCUCUUAAACAGGCGCAUCAAGCAGUUUAAGUAUAAAGGAUCUGAAGCGCUCACAAAGCCAUGUGCUGUCAAACCUGACGGAGCAAAGUUAUCAGGGCAAGCCGUUCAAAACUGGAACCUUUUGAGAUUGCUACCAGUUUUGAUUGGUGACAAAGUUCAAAACCAUCAGGAUGAAGUAUGGCAGUUAGCUCUCCAGUUAAAAGACAUUGCAGAUCUUAUUUGUGCUCAGAAAAUUUCCUUGUCGCAGAUAGCAUAUGUUGACAUUUUGAUCCAAGAAUAUUUGGAGAUGAGAAAGUUGUUGUUUCCUGAAAUUCAACUAAAACCCAAGCACCACUAUUUGCGCCAUUAUUCAGCACUGUUGUUGAAAUUUGGUCCAUUGAUGAGGUUAUGGACCCUUAGGUUUGAAAGUAAACACAGUUAUUUCAAAAGAUGUGCCAGACACUUGAAAAAUUUCAAAAACAUUUGUCAAACUUUGUCAGAGCGUCAUCAGAUGUAUCAGGCAUAUCUUUUAGCUGGGCAAGAAUGCGGUACACUACUGCAAGUGAAGGAGAGCUGUGCGUUUUAUCCCAACCUCUACAGUGACACUAUCAAACAUGCAGUCAGGGAGUUAGCCUUUUCAGAAAACAAUACCAAAGUUACCACAGACAUUCAGUAUAAGGGCACUGCAUAUAAAAAAGGACAGUUUCUUGUGUACAGAAAUGAUGAGUAUAUGGACUUUGGUGAACUUCUACUCAUCUUGAUUCAAAAUGACACAUCUGUGUAUAUUUUGAUGGAUAUCCACAAAGGCACCUUCCUCUCAGAAUACCAUCUGUAUUCUGUGACAAAGGACAGUCUUGGGUUACAGUGUAUCAACAUUGAUGACCUGCCCGAUUUCUAUCCUUUGGUAUCCUACAUUCUGGAUGGAUACCAAGUCAUUCCACUAAAACACAGUAUUGUGGAAAAAUAAAGUCCAAUUAAAGCGGACUUACUUCUCAUUGUAAAUAGUUUGACAUUAAUAUAAGUGUUGGCUGAUGCAUGUCCUUGCUCUGUUAAAGGUUCACUAAGCAGAAUAGUCAGUUUAGCUAACUUCCUGUCACUGACUGCAGUUAGCAGUCCCCUCCCUCGUCCCUACGUCACCACAUUAAUGCACUGCGGUCUUCAAGCAGCGAGUUAUCUAGCAUAAUUUCAGAUCCAUAAGUGUGAUAAAAACAUAAUAAAAACCAUCAAUACAGGCAUUGGGAUCCCCGAAAAGUUGAUUUGGCGAUUACAUGCAGAGGGAGUGACUGAGAGAUCGGCUUUAUGAAACGUGCACACUAUUUAAAUGAUCACUGUAUUAAUAAAGAGCGGUUUAACACUUAUAUUAGCAUCAAUAAAUAGCUUACUUCACCUUUAAGUGUAUAAACUGUAUAUAAUCUUUUCUGUUCUGUUUGAAGGUGGCAUUUGUUCUUCAGUGCAAAUAUGUGUGACGCAGAGCGAACCUUCCUAGAUGUCGCCAUCACUGAAUUCCUACCAGAACUUCCAGCAGUAAUCAAAACCAUCCUGGAAGAGCACUUGCAGUCCCUUGGUGUGGAGAUGGCUGAUGAUCUACGCUUCAUAACGGAGGCUGAUUUGAUGACAGCGUUAAGACCUGUACAAGCCAGAAAGCUUCUUUCUGCUUGGAAACGGAAAUACCAGACUCCCGAGAACAGCUCACCAUCAUCUGAGGCAGCCUCAUCUACCCAAUUGCUGUCAUAUCUCUCAGUUUCACCCGGAAGUUCAUCGUCAACCUCCAACAGCAGCCGAGUACUUGAAAAACAGUGGGACGACAACUUUGAAAUUCCAUGGAGUAAGUUUCCUGAGGAAGUGAUGCAUUAUCUUGAGAGGGGAAAAAGGCCAGGCCCAAAACGGAGGAGGCAAAUGGUCCGGAUUGUUGUGACUGAGAUGAUGGAAAAAUGCCCUCAUAUAGGCAAAAAGCAUUCAACCGACGUUGCAAAAAAAAUGGUCGCAAAAUAUCCACAUUCUCUGCAAGAUGUAAUAGAGGGCGAUAUUGUUGGAGCAGGCUACCUUUCCCUUGUCAAACAGUUGCAAAAUAGAAUUGAAAAUGCGAGGCGCACAUCAACACCCAAAAUAAGAAAAAGAAAACAUCAGACUGAUGACUCAGUCGACACAGACGAGAUCCCAUUGGAAGAGAGAGCAGCAAUGCAGGACACGUAUGGAUGCAUUAAAUGGAAUGUAGAAUUUCUGCCCCGUGAAGAAACUCCAGAGAGCCAGCAGCAAAAGAUGGAAAAACUCAAGGUGAUGUUCCAACACUCUGAUGCCAAUCCAGAGGAGGUAAAAUGUUUAAUGAAGUCCACUUUUUACACACAGAGACAACAUGUCAACCUGGGAAAAAGUAUCAAAAGCCUUAGAGAGGAGUGGCCGUUUUGCUUUGAUGAACUCGGCAUGUCAGUUCACUUCAAGGAACUGACUGGGAUUAACCUCAAAGAGACAUUCACACAAAAUUUGGAUUUGAAGGGAAAAAGGCUUCUCGACUACAUGGCCACAGUUUGUGUCAGCAAGAGCAAGUUUCUUCAGGCUUAUGCAAGGCUUCAGAGAAUGCGGGGACAGCAGAGUGGCUGUUCAGAUGACGUGAAAGAGAUGCUCCUGCUUCUGCUCAGCUACUUUGAUGAGAAUGAGGAGUCCAUGUUCUUCCAUGUAGAAGAUACAUGUCUGGCAGAAGAAGUCCAACUGGAACAAGUGCCUCUGACACCCACUGUCAUUGUCUGUGGACAGUCCUGCUAUUCCUCAACAAGGUACAUGCUGAGUCUGGAUCGGAACCUCGUCAACACAAACAUCUCCUCCUUCAUUUCUGCAUUGUGCCUCAUGUUCGGGAGCUACUACAUUUUCAACAUCCAUUAUCCAUCUGAGCUGGCUUCAACUCUGGAGUUCCUUCAAAGGUGUUUCUUCUCGAUAAACCCAGAAAAAGGAACCAAAGUAGAGAGUAAGAACAACAAGCGUCGUCUCAACCUGAACCCUCGAGUCCUCACCCUGAUACAGGAUCUCUCCGAUCACGAGUGGCGUCAAGCCUAAAUAUGGACUCUAUGUGGACUCUGACUGUUUGUUUGAGAAGAGGUACUUUUAGUUUUCGCUUUGUUAAUCCAAAAUGUGUAUUAUGGUAAUUAAGGCACACUAACUUUUCCUGGUAGAGGGUCCGCCACAUGCUUUUUUCAUAGUGUUAUUGCUUUGUAGUUAUGUUCCAGGUUGUUGUUUUUUACGGUGAAGAACUGUCUUACUGCUGUGUUUCUAGAUGGCUUGUUUAGGUUUGUUUCCUUACAGGUGGUUUUCCCCCGAUGUGUUCUAUGUCCCACGGGCACGGACGUGGUGACAUCCUAUACAGCAGGGUGCAUAUUGUAUGGGGACGAUUCCGAAACAUAAAUAUAUUAUGUAGCUAUCUCAAGUUAAUAUACACACACACACACACACACACACACACACACACACACACACACACACACACACACACACACACACACACACACACACACACACACACACACACACACACACACACACACACACACACACACACACACACACACUCCCAGUGUGUUAGUCGGGACACUUCCAGUGCUAUAAGGCACUGAUCAUUUUCGGCACAUUAGGCCACGUUUUAGAGGGAUUUAAGCCUAAAUGUGGACUCUGUUUGUUUGAGAAGAGGUACUGUUAGGUUUCGCUUUGUUAAAUCCACAAUUUUUAUUAUUGUUAAGGCAAAAUAUGUCAUUUUUGUUUUAAAGUCUUGCAAUAUGUACAGGUGCACUAUGUCAUUUUUAUCUGACACCUGCUUGUUUCCAUUUUGUAUAUGUUGGAAAAAAAAAAUCAUCCAAUUGUUUAUUGCCGAUGGCUGGUAAAUAAAUUUCCCAAAAGGGAUAUUUUCCUCUCUUGUCUUUUUUCAAAAUUUAAUUUUUGCAUGUUUUGCAGUAGGAGUAUUGGUAAUAAUUUUACAGGUGUAUAAGUAAAUUUUACAUUAUAACUUGAUUAUUAAAACAUAAAAAUACAGCAUAUUAUAAAUAGAUUUUAUGUAUAAUAUA